rnacentral:rRNA from 1 species
UACGGAGGGUGCAAGCGUUAUCCGGAAUCACUGGGUUUAAAGGGUGCGUAGGUGGGUUGGUAAGUCUGUGGUGAAAUCUCCAGGCUUAACUUGGAAACUGCCAUUGAUACUAUCAAUCUUGAAUACCGUGGAGGUCAGCGGAAUAUGUCAUGUAGCGGUGAAAUGCUUAGAUAUGACAUAGAACACCAAUUGCGAAGGCAGCUGGCUACACGAAUAUUGACACUGAUGCACGAAAGCGUGGGGAUCAAACAGG